AUGGUGGUAUUGUAGUGGUUAAGGAGCUCGGCUAGCACCGCAGAAGUCAUGGGUUCAAUUCCCAACUGUCAAU
rnacentral:tRNA from 1 species